AUUGAACGCUGGCGGCAUGCUUUACACAUGCAAGUCGAACGGUAACAGGGAGCUUGCUCCGCUGACGAGUGGCGAACGGGUGAGUAAUGCAUCGGAACGUACCCAGUCGUGGGGAUAACGUAGCGAAAGUUACGCUAAUACCGCAUACGUCCUGAGGGAGAAAGCGGGGGACCGUAAGGCCUCGCGCGAUUGGAGCGGCCGAUGUCGGAUUAGCUAGUUGGUGGGGUAAAGGCCUACCAAGGCGACGAUCCGUAGCGGGUCUGAGAGGAUGAUCCGCCACACUGGGACUGAGACACGGCCCAGACUCCUACGGGAGGCAGCAGUGGGGAAUUUUGGACAAUGGGGGCAACCCUGAUCCAGCCAUGCCGCGUGAGUGAAGAAGGCCUUCGGGUUGUAAAGCUCUUUCAGACGGAAAGAAAACGCAUCGGUGAAUACCCGGUGUGGAUGACGGUACCGUAAGAAGAAGCACCGGCUAACUACGUG
rnacentral:rRNA from 1 species